rnacentral:rRNA from 1 species
UACGGAGGGUGCAAGCGUUAUCCGGAAUCACUGGGUUUAAAGGGUGCGUAGGCGGUUAAUUAAGUCAGAGGUGAAAGGUUGUCGCUUAACGAUAAAAUGGCCUUUGAUACUGAUUAACUAGAAUUAGGUUGAGGUGGGCGGAAUGCGUCAUGUAGCGGUGAAAUGCAUAGAUAUGACGUAGAACACCAAUUGCGAAGGCAGCUCACUGGACCUUGAUUGACGCUGAGGCACGAAAGCGUGGGGAGCGAACAGG